rnacentral:rRNA from 1 species
UACGAAGGAGGCUAGCGUUGUUCGGAAUCACUGGGCGUAAAGAGCGCGGAGGCGGAUAUGAAAGUCAGAGGUGAAAGCCCAGGGCCCAAUCUUGGAAUUGCCCUUGAAACUACAUAUCUAGAGACCCGGAGGGGAUAGUGGAAUUCGAAAUGUAGGCGUGAAAUCCGUAGAUAUUUGGAGGAACACCAGUGUCGAAGGCGGCUAUCUGGACGAAUACUGACGCUGAGGCGCGAAAGCGUGGGGAUCAAACAGG